CUAUUUAUUAAACAUAUUUUCAUAGAUAUCAUUCAAUCUGGUCUAGUUUUAAAUGGAACAAUAUAUCAGACCAGCAGAACAAAUUUAACUUUGUGUUUAAAACAUGGCCAAGUUUGCGUUGACCUUCGUAUGCCUGCUGGCAAGCCAAAUAUCGACGGAAGGCAUGCUCGUGAAAGAUUGGGGUACAGGCAGCCAGAUGAAGCGUCUAGCUUGGUCGACGAAAUCUUUUUUCGACGAGGUUUACAAGCUUAUGACUCUCGGACAGAAGUUUGCCACCCCGAUUGCCGGAUUUAGUACUGACAUGAACAUCUAUAAUCCAAACAAUCCG